GGGGACUAGUUUAAUAAAAAUUACUGAUUUCGACUCAGUAGAUUCUGAACAACCAGAGGCCCCAA
rnacentral:tRNA from 1 species